ensembl:lncRNA
UGUUGACAGGGGAGAUUGGUCCUUUAUAGUUCUAGACUUACAGAUAUGCUCAUAAACCAGAGAUCCCUUAACAGUAACAAUUACCAUUUCUUGAGCAUUGUGAUGGUCAAUUCACUUAUCUUCUCUGCCUCUCUGGGCUCUGCAAGCCUGACCUCUGUGGACUGCUUGAUCCAGGUUUGGAGCCCUCAGUUUCACCCAUGGAAGCCAUACACAAGAGAUCAGAAGGCAGGAAAACAGAGGAGGAAGAGGAUGCUUCUUGAUGUCUCUCUGAACAGAUUCACAAAAGAAGACAUAAUUUCAUGGAGCUUCUCUGAGACAAACAAAAGCACAGUCCAGGGACAUGCCACAUAGCAAGGAUUUUCCGGAGAGUUCUGAUACUGAUUUCCACCUACAGAAUUCCAAGAAUACUUUUGGAUAUGCAGUUUAUUUUCAAUUCAUUCAGUUCUUUCUGAAACUCACCUUCUUCCUCCACAUGCAAAAGACUCAACUAAUCCAGGCAUCUAAUAAAAGCUCAGUAAAUUCCUGCUGCUUAAGUCAAUUGAGAAAUGUGCAGAAAAUUGAGAGCCAGAUCCCCCUUCUGUGGCUACUAAGAACAAACAAAACAACCCUGAAGUCUCCCGGUGAUCGCUCCAAUCCCCAGACCCUCUCCCCAACCCAGCCUGAGAAGCAUCCCACUACUGGGGGAAGAGGAGGGCUGGGGAAGACUGUUAAAGCUUCCAAGUACAAAUGAAGUGACCCUCGUCAAGCAACAGAGAAACAAAUUCUCCAGCAGCUAUUUCCUGUCUGACAGUUGGCGUGCUUCACUGACUGUAGUGUCAGCCUCGAAACCUUCAUCAUAAGUGUCAUUUGGUCUUAACUUUGCAAUAAGAAUUCCACCCAUGUGCCCAGGGCUCCUCUGGCAGCCUCUUCCGUCUCCACUGGCCAAUCGAGGUAACUUUCAACAGCUUGAUUCCUACAGCGCCUGGGCAUACUUCCAUGACAGCACUGUGCACACGAUGCUGAAAUGAUUGCUUUCCACAGAAAUCUCCCUCACCAAACUGUCAACUCCUGAGAAAUGACCCCAUCCAUCUCUGAGACCUGCAGUCCUAAUAGAGCGCAUUGCUCCAAAUUUGAAGGAGGAAGAAAGGAAAAGAGAGCAGAGGAAAGGAAAAGGGAAAAAAUAAGAGGGAGAAGGACAGAAUAUACACAAUCCAAUAAAUAUUUCUAGGUUCUG